rnacentral:lncRNA from 1 species
GGCUGGUUAUUGAUUUUUGUUUUAACUAUAAGAGCAAUAUGCGACACUUUAAUGAAAUAAUCACAAUAUUCAUCUUUUAUAUUUAAUCUCAAUUACCAGAUUAAAAUUUCACACCUAAUUGAACAUUGAAGAUGUACGCUGACCACUAUGUGUAUAUACGCAGAAACUGCUAGGUGUGAAAAUAAGAUGUGUCAAUUUUAUGAGGACCUGUACGGGGUCCUUAAUACUAUAAUUUUUCUGUCUUUUUCUGUGUUCUCUAUAUAUAAGCACUUCGCCAUUCUCUAUUUCUUAUUUUUUUCUUAAUUUUUCUGUAGUCAUUAUUUUUUUCCUUUAUUCGGCACUUUUAAUCCAUUAUUCUCUAUUCAUCGACCCCAUCCUGACCCUCUAUCUUAUUAUUAACCGUUUGCAAAUAAGUCUCGAAGGUGACAGCAUACAUCACAGUCCACGACAUUAAACUAGUAAGGCAUACAUACUGCUGGUGAUCAACAUUUGAUUAAUAAACUAGAAUAAAUACACUAAUACAUUUUAAAGAUAAUAUAUAUAUUUUUUACAAUUUCGUUUGUCCGUUUUUUACCGACAAAUGGAUUCAGUUUUUUUUUUUUCGCAGUUUUAAUUAACGUUAUAUAUUUAUGUGUAUAUAUUAUAGAAUAGUUUAAAAGCAGAUACAUAUAUUGAUUUCGUGUCAAACCAUUUCUUGGAAUUUGUGAAGCUUUUUAUGAUAAGUGGAGUAUUUUAGGUUUUUUUUCGAUUGACCUAUUGAUAUCAAUAAUUUGUACGACGUUGCCCACGCAGAGAUAUAGAACAAACAGUACAUUAAUGGGUGUUACACGGAUUCUUUUUAUAUGAUACACGGACUCUUUUUAGUUGUUACACGGACACUUUAUAUGAAUAGAAUCACUCGUGCAUAAUCAGUGAGUUCAUGGGCACUUUAACUUUCAAUUAGAUUUGAACUUUUUGGUUCACCGGCUUAUUUCCUUUCUUUUUAUUGAACAAAAUAAUUACGUUAGCA